UACGUAGGGGGCAAGCGUUGUCCGGAUUUAUUGGGCGUAAAGAGCUCGUAGGCGGUUCCGUAAGUCGAGUGUGAAAAAUCUGGGCUCAACCCAGUGGAGCACUCGAUACUGCGGUGACUGGAGUACGGUAGAGGAGUGUGGAAUUCCUGGUGUAGCGGUGGAAUGCGCAGAUAUCAGGAGGAACACCUAUAGCGAAGGCAGCUUGCUGGGACGUUACUGACGCUAAGGCGCGAAAGCGUGGGGAGCGAACAGG
rnacentral:rRNA from 1 species